rnacentral:tRNA from 1 species
GCCUUCAUGGUUUAACGGUAGCACUCUCGGCUCGUACACGAGAGGUUCAGGUUCGAGUCCCGGCCAGGGCA